rnacentral:lncRNA from 1 species
AAUAUAAUUGCAGUUGAAGGCAACUCUUUCAGAAAUUCCUUGUAUUUUAUUCUAACAACGAACAUUUUGUGAUAGGGAAUAAAGUAAGGGGGAAAGAAACAUAUGUUUUGUUCUGUAUAGGUAUUUCCCCUGUAAUAUUUCGGAGCACUCCACCUUGGGAUUAAUUGGUUUCACAGAUAUGUACAGUGUAGUGGGGGUGUUAAUAGGUUUAAAAUCGUUAUACAGGUUUAAUAGACUUUGAUCUAAGGGUGCUAUAAACAGUUUCGUAUAAAAAACUAGGGGUUAUUCCCCAACUAAAAAUAGACAUGGAGGGAAGUCCCUUUUUAUCAACAUAAUUGGUGAAAAAGUAUCAUGUUUUUUGUAUUUGGUUGUAAAGAUAUGUUAAUUAACUUCAAUUAAAACAGGUUAGAUGAUUAAAAUAAUUUAAAAAAUUAGAUUAAAUAUUCAUGUUUUGAGGGGAGACAACACUGUAAACAGUCUGAUUUUUUGGCAGUGAAAAUUCAAAACUUAUUUGCAGCCACUGUAGCUCUUUUCGGAGCAGGCGUACGUACCCUGAAGCAUGAAUUUUUUGAAAGACCAGGUAAAAAUCUAUGAAAUUCAUACAACUUUGAUAAUGAAAAAUGUGCAGGUAUCAUGUCUUCAGGGGUGUGCACAUGACCUGAUUUCAGGUUUUUAAGCUUACAUUAGGCAAUGUUUUUCCCAGUUUCUCUGGAUAAAACUUUUUUAUACUAUUAAAAGUACACUUUAUUUUUAUUCCAUUAUAAACUAGAGAACAUUCUGAUUCCA